rfam:Triticum aestivum genome assembly, contig: Triticum_aestivum_CS42_TGACv1_scaffold_320442_4BL
GGUCCCAUAGCUCAGUUGGUUAGAGUAUCCGUCUGAUAUGCGGAAGGUCAUGGGUUCAACCCCCAUUGCGACCA